AUGCACAGUAAACACCUAGGUGUGCUUUAUAGUACCCUUAGUUUUAACUUUGUGCUACAGCAAUGGUUGUUCUUUAUUUCUGCAUUGAAAAAACUAUUAUUUUAAGUGCAUUCAAAAAUAUCAGCACAUUA